rnacentral:rRNA from 1 species
GAAUUCCGAUUGAUCCCGUCGGACCCCACUGCUAUCGAGGUGGGACUAAGCCAUGCCAGUCGAACGACCCGGACUAUGGCGGGGAGUGGCAGACUGCUCAGUAACACGUAGCUAACCUACCCUCGGGACGGGGAUAACCCCGGGAAACUGGGGCUAAUACCCGAUAGGUAUGGAUUCCUGGAAUGGUGCCAUGCCUAAACGUAAGCACAUCCAUGUUUGUGUGCACGCCCGAGGAUGGGGCUGCGGCCGAUCAGGCAGUUGGUGAGGUAACGGCUCACCAAACCUUUGACCGGUACGGGCCAUGAGAGUGGUAGCCCGGAGAUGGGCACUGAGACAAGGGCCCAGGCCCUACGGGGCGCAGCAGGCGCGAAACCUCCACAAUUCACGCAAGUGAGAUGGGGUUACCUCGAGUGCCAUCUGAAGAAGGUGGCUUUUCCAUGGUGUAAUGAGCCGUGGGAAUAAGGGGGGGGCAAGACUGGUGUCAGCCGCCGCGGUAACACCAGCCCCCCGAGUGGUGGGGAUGAUUAUUUGGCCUAAAGCGUCCGUAGCCAGCUCGGUAAAUCUCUCGUUAAAUCCAGCGUCCUAAGCGUUGGGCUGCGAGGGAAACUGCCGAACUAGAGGGUGGGAGAGGUCAGCGGUAUUCCUGGGGUAGGGGCGAAAUCCAUUGAUCCCAGGAGGACCACCAGUGGCGAAGGCUGCUGACUAGAACACGCCUGACGGUGAGGGACGAAAGCUGGGGUAGCGAAUCGGAUUAGAUACCCGAGUAGUCCCAGCCGUAAACGAUGCAGGCUAGGUGUUGGGUCGGCCAUGCGCCGCCUCAGUGCCACAGGGAAGCCAUUAAGCCUGCCGCCUGGGGAGUACGGCCGCAAGGCUGAAACUUAAAGGAAUUGGCGGGGGAGCACCACCAGGCGUGAAGCCUGCGGUUUAAUUGGAGUCAACGCCGGGAACCUUACCGGGAGCGACAGCAGAGUGAAGGCCAGGCUGAAGGUCUUGCCAGACGAGCUGAGAGGAGGUGCAUGGCCGUCGCCAGUUCGUGCCGUGAGGUGUCCUCUUAAGUGAGGUAACGAACGAGACCCGCGCCCCAUGUUGCCAGCAAAUCCUAAAGGGAUGUUGGGCACUCUUGGGGGACCGCAGCCGACAAGGCUGAGGAAGGUGCGGGCAACGGCAGGUCAGUAUGCCCCGAAUCUCCCGGGCCACACGCGGGCUGCAAUGGUAGUGACAGAGGGCUGCCACCUCGAGAGGGGGAGCCAAUCCCUAAACACUACCUCAGUUGGGAUCGAGGGCUGCAACCCGCCCUCGUGAACAUGGAAUGCCUAGUAACCGCCGGUCAUCAUCCGGCGGUGAAUACGUCCCUGCUCCUUGCACACACUGCCCGUCGAACCACCCGAAUGAGGUUUUGGUGAGGUACGGUCGAAAGUUGGCCGUCUCGAACCUAGGCCUCGUAAGGAGGGUUAAGUCGUAACAAGGUGGCCGUAGGGGAACCUGCGGCCGGAUCACCUCCUAAGAAA